AUAACCGGUUGGAAAAUAUAUGAAAAAUCACCAAAAUUGUGCAAUGUCUUUAGGGAAAUCCUCUGGAUUUUUAAGUGUUUGUUUUGACACAGGAAAUUUCUCUAAGGAAAAAUACGUUGAGGUUCUAUCUUUUGGCUCGCCAACCUCUGCAAUUUUCCUUUUUGGAAGAGAACCUUCUUGCUUGCUUGCUCUAUGCAUUUUCAACACUCACUUACCUCAUCACCCAACAUUUGACAUCCAUCAGAAUGUAGAUAGGGGAACCAUCAAUCAAUGAAUUUAUUAAGCCAUGCCUAGUUUCAAUGCAUAUAGGGGAUCAAUGUACUAUUUCUGAAUUCACUUGUACUAUAAGCUUGAUAACCAUAUAAAUUCAGUUUCUUUAUUUAAUGAAAACCUGAAUGGCCUUCAAUUGAGCCUGGCUAUUUCUCAAAUAAGGUAACUAAGUAUGAAUUACAGAGGCUUCUCUGCCAGCUAAGCUAUAUUGGAAUAUCUUCUCUGCUAGCUAAGGAUCGAGAUUCUAUGCCACGAUAUUAAUGUCCAUAUUCCGCAUCACAUAUCCCCAAGAAUAAAUAUCAUGAAAAGCUGCUCCUAAUGCAAAUUUCGUAUUGUCUUUAGAAAUUAUGUAUAAUAUAACACAAGUUUUGAAUGAUUCACUAGUCAGCCUUUCCAAUAGUCAAUAAUCAUAUAUGGGAAAAGCAUGUGUUAGAAUUCAUGACUUGUUAACUAACGAGUUUAAAAAAGCUUAGGUUAGAGUUUAUUUUUGUGACAAGUUAGAAUAAUAAUAAUGAUAGAAAUUUAAAAUAAAGGAGCAUGAAAUAGUAAGAUCACGUGACUUGUUCUUUCUUUCUUAUUACUCUUAUUAGGCUUAGCUUCUGUAUAUAGUAGUCUAUAUACACUAUUAAUUUAUUAUACAGUGUGACAUAUAAGAAAUUCAUCAUUUCAAGGGUCAACCAAAACCCGUUGUAGUAAUUUAAGUUUAAGGAGUGGAAAGUAUUUUGAUGGUGUUAGUCUACUACAUCAAAAGCUAUUAGUCAAUGUUUAUAACUGCUGCUCCUCACUUCCAGAGACCCAGUUGGUAUUUAUCAUUUAUGUUAGUGAUUGAAACUAUAAAAAAAAAUUCAGUUUUACAGAGGAAGAAGAUGUAAAUGUAGAUGAUGUAACUGCUGCUUUUGAUGAUUCUAAGGAAAAUCUAGUGACAGAGAGAAAAGAGAAACCGGUUUCAAUGAAUGCUUUUGAACUCAUUUCAAGAUCACAAAGUUUUAACUUUGACAGCUUAUUUGAGUAGCAAACAGAAGUUGUAAAGAGAGAAACACAUUUUACUUCACAACAUCCUCCGAACGAAAUCAUGUCGAAAAUUGAGGAAGCUGCCAAGCCUCUUGGAUUCAAUGUUCGCAAUAAUUCAAUGUAACUGCAUCCUUAUCUUCCUUAUCUCAUCCCUUGGAGGGUUCACCAUUUCAGAAUUGAAUAUCGACUCCAGAAUCCAGAUUUGUUCUGGUUUUGGGUUCCAUAAUGCUGGGCUUGUCCGGUCUCCAAUUUCACCAACCUUGCCACAGAUAGGUUCUAGGUUGUGCCUGACUUGGGGCAUCUUAUGGAGUUUCCCUGAGACCCGGAAUCAUGUGCUUGUUACCUCCCUACUAAUGAGCUGGUCCAUCACUCAGAUAAUUCACUAUUCUUUCUUUGGCUUCAAGGAGGCUUUCCCAUCAUGGCUUUUGUGGCUAAGGUAUGAUUGAAGGUCCGGUUCUGCAUAUAGUAGAGUAACGGGCGAUUCUUGCAUGCGCAAUUGCUGCCAAGGACUAUGACAAGCUCGAGUAUUACAGAUGAGUUUGGUUUUGGGAUUGGCUCUUGCAUUCAUUCUUGGUGCAGGAUUUCCUUUUAGAGCUAAACUAUUUACAGGUUUAUGGCUAUCUAUUCAUCAUAUCUUCAGCAUUGAGAGGUUUUAAUUCUAUUUCAGUCAGGGAGAUGCCAAGACCAACUUUCAAUGUGGAGUUUGAUGCUGCCAAUGCAAUUUGGUUAUCUAUUAAUAUUUUAGAUUAUUCCAUCUUUAAGGGCUAAGUGUAAUUUGUGACAUCAGUUAAUGAAGAAGAUCCAUGUAAUAUUAGGAUGGUCAUCUUAUUUUUUUGGGUAUCUUUUUAUUGAGACAAUGAGAUAUUGGUCAAUAA